rnacentral:rRNA from 1 species
UACAUAGACCUCAAGCGUUAUCCGGAUUUACUGGGCGUAAAGCGUGCGUAGGUGUCUUUGUAAGUCUCUGGUGAAAUCUCCGGGCUCAACUCGGAAAUGGUCAGAGAUACUGCAAGGAUCGAGUGCGGCAGAGGCAGACGGAAUUCUCAGUGUAGCGGUAAAAUGCGUAGAUAUUGAGAAGAACACCGAUGGCGAAGGCAGUCUGCUGGGCCGUCACUGACACUGAGGUACGAAAGCGUGGGUAGCGAACGGG